AAGUCGUAACAAGGUUUCCGUAGGUGAACCUGCGGAAGGAUCAUUAACACGUUAUCCACGUAUUAUAAACCGUACUAUGCAUUGUGCUCCCUGCUAUAGAAGACCGCGCGGCUAUUACUUAUCUGUGUCAGAGUGGAGUUCACGCAAGUGAGCAUAACAGAUACUUAGUCGUCUGACCGCAUGCGGAGUCAGAAGUCGCCCCACUUUCUAUCAGGCUUAUUGCGUCCCUGCUCGUGUGAAAACGUUCCCUACCACUUAGGGCAGCGAGGGAGCACCAUACCAGUUUAACCCUAUUUUACCCAAUUUUGACUAAUUACUACAUUCUUGGACGAAAGUUCUCGAAUUACUAAGAUUUUAUCUUAACUAAGCACAACUCUUAGCAAUGGAUAUCUUGGUUCUC
rnacentral:misc_RNA from 1 species